rnacentral:rRNA from 1 species
UACCCGCAGCCCAAGUGGUGCUCGUUAUUAUUGGGCCUAAAACGUCCGUAGCCGGACCUGUAAAUCCAUGUGGAAAUCGGAGGGCCUAACCCUCCGAAGGGCGUGGACACUGCAGGCCUUGGGACUGGGUGAGUUCGGAGGUACUUCCGGGGUAGGGGUGAAAUCCUGUAAUCCUGGGAGGACCACCAGUGGCGAAGGCGUCCGAAUAGAACGGAUCCGACGGUCAGGGACGAAGCCCUGGGGCGCAAACGGG